CAAAGAGGUCGCGGAGGGUCAAGACAGCACCUCCGGGUCGAAGCAGGUGGUCUGAGAGUGAAGGGGCCAAAAGAAGUGGUACGCGGGCCUCUCACUGUUGUGGCCUCUCCCGUUGUGGAGCACAGGCUCCAGACGCGCAGUCUCAGAGGCCAUGGCUCACGGGCCCAGCCGCUCCGCAGCAUGUGGGAUCUUCUCAGACCGGGGCACGAACCCGUGUCCCCUGCAUCGAAUAACUAAGCCCGUGCACCACAACUACUGAGCCCACAUGCUGCAACUACUGAAGGCCGUGUGCCUAGAGCUCAUGCUCCCAACAAGAGAAGCCACCACAAUGAGAAGCCUGCGCACCAUGACAAAGAGUAGCCCCCACUCGCCGCAACUAGAGAAAAGCCCGUGUGCAGCAAUGAAGACCCAACGCAGCCAAAAAUAAAAUAAAUUAAAUAAAUUUUUUUAAAAACCCCA